UCAUUUCAUUAUUUCUUUCUACAUUUGUAAAUAUACGUUUAUAAAAUUAUGUAAUUUUGAAAUCUAUUUGCAAUUUUGUUUGAUUUGAUUGAGAAUUUGGAAUAAUGGAUCUGAUGUAUCGGAAGUUACUGGUCGAAGCUGUUGACCAGAGAUUAACUCUCUUUUGUGGUGUUGUCACAUGCGUUGAUUCGUAUGCAUAGAUGAAUCUGGUCAAUACGUAGUAUGUAUUAGGUUUUGUUGAGCUUGGAACUACCCAAUCUAAUGCUUUGAAUUCGAAGCUUCUGUGUAUUAAACUGAUUUUGCUAGUUGAUUUGUGGUUUGCAGAGAACAAGUUGUAUCAGUUAUAUUUGCUGCGAGAUAAAGGUGACAAAUUACCAUGUCAUUGCCAAGUUAGCUACUAAUCAGAGUGGAUUACAACGUUGUAAGAUAUCUCUAGUUGAUGCCAUGGGAACAAGAUUUACAAAGUAUGGGAAAAUUGUGGGUCUUGAUCCAGACAAUGAUCUUGCUGUUCUGAAGAUUGAAACCGAGGGACGUGAGUUGAAGCCUGUUUCUCUUGGUACCUCCAGUGAUCUAUACGUAGGUCAGAGUUGCUUAGGUUGCUUGAUGAGCUUGAAGCUCUGGUGAAUCAUCUCAAGACUCAUGACGGUCACUACAAAAGUUGGUCUGUCCCCGAGGGCUUACGUCAUGUUCAUGGCUACAUGAACGCUUUGUUCUCUCUUAACUCCUUUGAGAGAACGAAGACCGAGGAGAGGUAUGUGAUCGCAGGAUGGGCUCACAAGGUUAGCCCCUAAAACUACUAUUAGUUCCAUCUGUUGUGUGUGAUGAUGAUGUGGUUCAAUGUCUAUCUUCUCUAUCAGUAGAAUAAUGUUGUUCCUUCUGUUAUGGUUGUUAUUGUAUCUGCACCAAGUGAAAAACUGUUUGUAUGGUCAGAGUGAUCACCUUGAAUGCUUUUGAGAAGUUUUCCUCCGAAAUAUAAAUCUUCUCCAAAGUUUUUUUAGAACCUCUAAAUAAGAAACUUCCAUUGGAGUACAAAAAUGUUGGUGUCUCUUAACUAAGUCUCUUAAAUAACUUUUUUUUUUUUUCUUUUUUUUUUGUGACAGUCUCUUAAAUAACAUUUAUUACUUAAAAUCAUUAAGAGAACCAAAGUGGAUCUUUGGGUUAAUGAUGCUUAGGCCUCACUUUUAAAGCCUUAAUUGCUUAGGCCAUCUUUAAAUAAAGAAAGAAAAGUAUUCAUCUCGCUCUUCGUCAAGCACAUUCCAAUCUCCACACCACCACCUGACCAUCCCUCCUUCCCAACAUAGAGAAUGAUCCAAAAUCUGUCCCAUUUAUCCCUAACCGGGUUGACCCAGCCACCGAUCCGAACUGUUCACCCGGUUUAAUUUUCUUCGUUCCCUCCACAUAGUCCUCAAAGAGUGACUCUAUCCCUUGCGAAGCUAAACCUUUGACUGAAUCACUUAGAAUCUCGACUGCUUUAACAAAGCCAUCAUCUUUCAAAAACGCUCUCGCUUCAUAUUGGAACCAACCUAUAGGAAAUACACAUGACCCAAAGUAUGUAGCAGGAAGUGGCGGGUCUAACCGAGCCCUAAAGUCUGCUGAAUACCUAAAACGUACUGUUUCUGUUCGGGUAGCCUCCACGCGCUUUCACCGCACAAGUCCACACGUAAGCAUACGCGAGGACAAAGGACCUUCUCUCUGGGGCUCGUCUGGAGUUGCCAUCGGUUCCUAACCGGAUAGAUCCGUUGCGGGUUCUCCGUAACGGCGGCGCGUGCGAGGAGGCGAUUAGUUGGAUUUGUCAACCACGGUUGCUCUGCUCGGUGGCGGCGCGUGCUGGGUCUGCGAGUUUCAGGGGCUUGAUCUAAGGCUGCUUCCUGACCGCUUUGACUUAAAGUGGUGUUUGUUGUCUCAGUCUUUUUGGUGCAGGUGCGGUGGUUUGUGGCGGCUUUGGCGGCUCCUUUCCGGAUAAAGCUCGACCUGGUCUCGGCAAGUGUUCUUGGUCUGGUGUGAAGGUGUCGGUCCGUGAAGGUUACAAGUCUUGAUGUCGUCGUAAGCUGUUCUUGAAAAAUCCGAUCUUAAAGAGCUGAUCAUCGGGCAAAGCCGAAUUUUACCGGGUUCAGCUCUCGCUAUCACUGCGGAUUUCAUUUUGUGGCAAGCGAAUGUUCAGAUUUUCAUGUAUACUUUUGCUUAUGAUGCACAACUUAGGGUCAGUUCUUGCUACGUUAGGUUGGAGUUUGUGUUUAGAUUUGUUUUCUGUUCUUCUGUUUCUUGUUUGUCUCAGUAAUCUUCUGUAAAAAAUUGAAAACCGGUAAUAAAUCUUAACAUUUUUACCAAAAAAAAAAAAAAAAAAAGGUUGAGUGAAGCUCGAGGGGCCGAGAGCGAGCUGAUUCGAUCUUGACUCGUUCCCGGAGUUUCUCUAAGUUCUCCCAAGUCAACUCAACAGUGGUACGGACAACAUCGGGGCUUAACUCGCUGGGAGUUGGCUUCAGGGUUUUAAACUUGUCCCCAGAUGACACAAAUUCAACCAUUUUCGACUCGAGUCCGGAUGGAACAUUGAUCGCUGACGUACGAUCAAAAUUUGGAGAUAGAUUCUCAGGAAGAAGAGGAAACUACACGGCGUUGUUACUAUGUUGUUGCAGUCUGCAAAUAUGAUCCCAAGAUUUAAUAAACAUCUCUGACGUUGCACCGUCGUUCACAGAGUGGUGCGAUGCGAUGCCCAUGCAGAACCCUUGCUUCGGGAACAACGUGACUUGCACGGAAAGCAAGGUUGCCGAGUCAUCGAAGAUUUUCAACUCGGGUACCAAUGGACGAUGGUCCGUAGCCAGACGUAGUCCAUCGCCGGAUAAAAAGGAGAAGUCUGCGUCCGUCUCCGCGACCGUGAGAGAAACUGUGUCGUGCUUGGAGACGGUGACGCACGGCUUUGUGUCCUGUGGGCUCCACGUGAGGCGGCCGGUGAGGGGAAGGUAGUAGCGGAGGACUUGGGAGAGAGAGAGAGCUUGAGCUUUGGAAGGAUGUGAGAGUGGAAUGUCUCGGAUGAUACUAGGCCUGUUCGUUUACUAAACGCCCUGCGUCAACACUAGCGGCUGAAAUUUGUUUGUAAUUUUCUUCUGCACUGACGCUGGUGAAGGAAAAAAGAGAAUGCGAGUUAGAAUGAUCGAUGGAAUCCGGUGAUAUUUGUGCCGCUGAAAUAACUAGCGUCACUGUUUAUCUUUUCUUUUUCUUCCAUGCGAAUGAAAAACAUGGAUGCUCUUCCAUUCUUUCUUUUCUCUCUUUGUUAGACCAUCUCCAUUGGUUAGAGACCCUAAAGGAUUCUUAAAAUUAAAUUAGUGGUUAAUUUUAUGAUUUGAAAACUUUAGAACCCAUGUUUGUCUAUUUAAUUUUUUCAUCCUCCAUUGGAAGAACCUCAUUGAGGUUCUUAAAACUUAAUUUUUUUUUAAGUGAAAUGAUUUGAAAGAAAAUGAAACAUAUUAUUUUUAUUAAUAAUGACAUAAAAGCAUAUUAAAAAUACAAAUACAUAUCGUAAACGAGAAAAGCCGAUUAGUUAAAAUCUUCAUUUGUUUCAAAUUUUUGUAUAUAUUCUCAACCAAAUCCGUUUUCAAUUGUUGAUGUAUUGUAUUAUCACGAACACAAUUCUGAAUGCUCAUGUGCGAAAACCGAUACAUCAAACUUAUCAUGUAGAAUGAUACAUGAUAAAAAACAUGAGCCUUUUAUUUUGUGGAUGUCUAGUUGGAAACUAAGGUAAAGAAUCUGUAUGAUUCGGAUUCAAAAGCUCAAAUAAAAAACACACAAUAAACCUUUUUUUAUACGACAGGAAUUCACAUUUGUGGAGGAGAACAAUCAAAGAGAAAAUAGUAAUAAGAAGAAGCAUGUACACACGACCAUUACCGUAAGAACCUUAUGAUUGGUUCAAUGUUCUUCCGAUAAAGGCAAAACUCAAAAACACUCAGAAAAAAAUGGAUAGAAUUGAAUAAAACGAGAAAGAAAAUAAAGAAGCCACCAAGGUUGUCUUUUGUAUUUCUUCUCAGGGUUGUGCAAGUCUCUUGACAAUUGAAGCCAUGUAGUUUCCUUGAUGUUCAGCAAGAGCCAACUCUGUCUCCCUAGCUUCUCUUGAGCCAUCACCAGCGAACACACGAGCCUCCAUGGAUCGAGUCCAUU